UACGUAGGGGGCAAGCGUUGUCCGGAUUUAUUGGGCGUAAAGAGCUCGUAGGCGGUUUGUCGCGUCUGCUGUGAAAUCCCGAGGCUCAACCUCGGGCCUGCAGUGGGUACGGGCAGACUGGAGUGCGGUAGGGGAGAAUGGAACUCCUGGUGUAGCGGUGGAAUGCGCAGAUAUCAGGAAGAACACCGAUGGCGAAGGCAGUUCUCUGGGCCGUAACUGACGCUGAGGAGCGAAAGCGUGGGGAGCGAACAGG
rnacentral:rRNA from 1 species